UGGGGCAUCAGCAGGAACUGGCUUCGUGCAUUUGGAGGGGCUCUUAUCUGUGUGCAUCUAGCAAGCGUGGUCUGGUUCUGGAGCCGACAACUCCGUAGUGGAGCAGAAAUGUGAGUUCCCGCAUUUCUAUGCUGGGGGAGGUAGCAGCUUCUCCAGCGGGUCAGUUCUGUGGCUUCAGAACUGGGGGGAGCUGGUGGGGGGGCGCUGAUGGAAUCGGCUUCCUUUUCCUUCCCAUCAGAGAGCACCCAGCUGUCUUCCCCUGGGGUGGGUCUGUCUCCUUGAGCCUCUCAGAGUGGGAACCAACCCAAUCUGAAAUCAGAUGCACAAGAAGGUCGCAGCACCAGACCUAGCCUCCCAACAUUUAGAAAGUACAGGUUGCGGGGGCAUCUGGGGGGGCUCAGUCGGUCGAGCAUCCGACUCUUGAUUUCGGCUCAGAUCGUGAUCUGGGGGUUGUGGGAUCUGAGCUGCGCGUGGAGCCUGCUCAGGGUGCUCUCCCUCCUCCCCCUGCUCCUUCUCUGCUCUCUCUUUGUCUCUCUAAAAUAAAAGAAAAAGAAAAUAAGAUGCAUGAGCCUUUCCCACGUGAAAGCAAUUUUCUCACGUUCCUGUUUCCGUCACAGCCCACAGAAGGGUAGGAGGGAAAUACAAAUUCAAGUGACACAACACUGUUUGUUUCAAUAAACAGGUCAAGCAGCGUUAUGAUGUUCCUUUUUUUUUUUUUUCUAGCUCCACGAGGGUGGCCGAAGAGAGACGUGACAAUGAAAAUUCCCAAGUCUUUGCACCUUUCAGGAAAAGAGAGCGUCGGCGUAGGUCGUACUAGCAAGGGCAGCAGGUCAUUAGUUAAGACAACCAGUCCAGAGUUGGGAGGUCUUAGGGACUAACGUGUGGUCCCUGCCCCCCCAUUCCUAUGUUGAACCCCCAAAUUCCAAUGCGACCAUACUGAAGACAGGACCUUGAAAGAGGCGAUUAAUGUUAACUGGGGUCGUAAGGGUGGAGCCCUAAUCCGAUAGGACUGGAGCCCUCGUAAGAAGACCAGACGACACCAGGGAUAUGUGCACACGGGGCAAAGGCCGUGUGAGGACGUAGCGCGAUGUUGCCUAUCUACCAGCCAAAGAGGGGCUUCAGGAGAGACCAACGCUGCCAGUACUGACCUUGGACUUCCAGCCUGAGAAAAAAGAUUUCUGA
rnacentral:lncRNA from 1 species